CCUCCCAAAGAGUAACGGAGGAGCACGAAGGUGGGCUAAUCACGGUUGGACAUCGUGAGGUUAGUGCAAUGGCAUAAGCCCGCUUGACUGCGAGAAUGACAAUUCGAGCAGGUGCGAAAGCAGGUCAUAGUGAUCCGGUGGUUCUGAAUGGAAGGGCCAUCGCUCAACGGAUAAAAGGUACUCCGGGGAUAACAGGCUGAUACCGCCCAAGAGUUCAUAUCGACGGCGGUGUUUGGCACCUCGAUGUCGGCUCAUCACAUCCUGGGGCUGAAGUCGGUCCCAAGGGUAUGGCUGUUCGCCAUUUAAAGUGGUACGCGAGCUGGGUUUAGAACGUCGUGAGACAGUUCGGUCCCUAUCUGCCGUGGGCGUUGGAAGAUUGAAGGGGGCUGCUCCUAGUACGAGAGGACCGGAGUGGACGAACCUCUGGUGUUCGGGUUGUGUCGCCAGACGCAUUGCCCGGUAGCUAAGUUCGGAAUCGAUAACCGCUGAAAGCAUCUAAGCGGGAAGCGAGCCCUGAGAUGAGUCUUCCCUGAUACUUUAAGUAUCCUAAAGGGUUGUCGGAGACUACGACGUUGAUAGGUCAGGUGUGUAAGUGCUGUGAGGCAUUGAGCUAACUGAUACUAAUUGCCCGUGAGGCUUAACCAUACAACACCCAAGGGGUUU
rnacentral:rRNA from 1 species